GAGGCACAGAAUCCAGACCCACAGCUUUUAGCAGAGAAGGACUGGACAUGAUAUGUGGUUGCAAGGAACUCUUGCUGAUGUGUGAAUCCUGCCCCCAUCCACAUAAUGUUUUACAAGCUUCCAGCAGGUCCUUAGUCAUUGAAGAAAUGAUGUAACCUGCACAAGUUUCAUCGGAGCCCUUGGAGAUACAAAUAAGAGCAAUCCUUUGUCAGGAAUUUGCCCAGCUCACAUCGAAUGUCUCCUGUGGUGACAACUGCAACCAAAAAAUGAAAAGACUAACAAAAAACUUGCAGAACAAAAUGAGAGCUUCGAAGGCAAGGUACUAAGCAAUAGGAUGAGCCCUGGGAAAUACAUGGAAGUGUGAGUACACUUUUACUUUUUCUCCCAUCGGAUUCUCUAUUUGGUGCUUAAAAUAAAACCUGAACUUUAAAACAAUUAAAAAAAAAAAAUAAAGGCAAAAUGCUCAACUACAAAUUGCUGUGGGGAAGUGCCUGCCUAUUAUGGAUACCAAGAAAGAUUACAAACCUGACUUUGACCUUCCAGGUAUGCAAAUAGCUUCCUCAUGUCUGCUCCUCCUGAUUUUGAAGUUCUUGUAUUGUCAGUUCAGACACUGCUAUCUCAAGUGUGAGCAUGAAAGUAUUCAAAAUGCAAAAAUGAAGAUUAAUAGAGAAUUUCAAGCACUUGCUUUCAAACAAUGAUUGGUACAGAGUGUCUACCCAUUCUUCCGUGGCAGAAUUACCAGAGACCACUAAAGAAUACUUAUUAUCUCCAUAAUUAGAUGUCUUAUAGAUGCAGUAAAUGAUGCAAAAACAGCACAGUGUUCAGAGCUGUGAUUUAUGGUUACUUAGUCAAUAUUAUAUGCAAACGUUACUUCCAGUAUUACACACAUGCUGGGCCCGAGGCUCCUGGAGGUUCCUGAGUGCAGGGGCACAUCCGGGGAAUUUGUGAGAACAGAGUCGCUGCUUACAGGAAGGAAUGGGUCAACCACUCUACACUAGUUUUAUUUCAAAAUUCAAAUAAGAAACAGUGAGUAAACAGACACUUUUUUUUCUAAAAAAUAACAUACACUGCUGUCUCUGGGUUCUCAGCAUUUAUGACUCUGUGAGCAGAAGGGGCCAUGGGGUAGACUCUGAAUAUUAACAAAAGUUAGUCUUCUUUAAUUAUUUCAUAAUGAAGGUACAAUAGAUAUUGUGAAAGGGAAAAGAAACUGCUCAA